rnacentral:rRNA from 1 species
AUUGAACGCUGGCGGCAGGCCUAACACAUGCAAGUCGAGCGGAAACGAGUUAUCUGAACCUUCGGGGGAUUUGUUGGGCGGCGAGCGGCGGACGGGUGAGUAAUGCCUAGGAAAUUGCCCUGAUGUGGGGGAUAACCAUUGGAAACGAUGGCUAAUACCGCAUGAUGCCUACGGGCCAAAGAGGGGGGACCUUCGGGCCUCUCGCGUCAGGAUAUGCCUAGGUGGGAUUAGCUAGUUGGUGAGGUAAGGGCUCACCAAGGCGACGAUCCCUAGCUGGUCUGAGAGGAUGAUCAGCCACACUGGAACUGAGACACGGUCCAGACUCCUACGGGAGGCAGCAGUGGGGAAUAUUGCACAAUGGGCGCAAGCCUGAUGCAGCCAUGCCGCGUGUGUGAAGAAGGCCUUCGGGUUGUAAAGCGAACUUUCAGUCGUGAGGAAGUAGUGUAGUUAAUAGC